rnacentral:rRNA from 1 species
AGCGUAGACGGAUGGACAAGUCUGAUGUGAAAGGCUGGGGCUCAACCCCGGGACUGCAUUGGAAACUGCCCGUCCUGAGUGCCGGAGAGGUAAGCGGAAUUCCUAGUGUAGCGGUGAAAUGCGUAGAUAUUAGGAGGAACACCAGUGGCGAAGGCGGCUUACUGGACGGUAACUGACGUUGAGGCUCGAAAGCGUGGGGAGCAAACA